rnacentral:rRNA from 1 species
UACGUAGGGUGCGAGCGUUAAUCGGAAUUACUGGGCGUAAAGCGUGCGCAGGCGGUGAUGUAAGACCGAUGUGAAAUCCCCCGGGCUUAACUUGGGAACUGCAUUGGUGACUGCAUUGCUGGAGUAUGGCAGAGGGGGGGUGGAAUUCCACGUGUAGCAGUGAAAUGCGUAGAGAUGUGGAGGAACACCGAUGGCGAAGGCAGCCCCCUGGGCCAAUACUGACGCUCAUGCACGAAAGCGUGGGGAGCAAACAGG